rnacentral:rRNA from 14 species
UAAACGAUGAAUGCCAGUCGUCGGGCAGUAUACUGUUCGGUGACACACCUAACGGAUUAAGCAUUCCGCCUGGGGAGUACGGUCGCAAGAUUAAAACUCAAAGGAAUUGACGGGGGCUCACACAAGCGGUGGAGGAUGUGGCUUAAUUCGAGGCUACGCGAAGAACCUUAUCCUAGACUUGACAUGCUUGAGAAUCCCUAUGAAAGUAGAG